UACGUAGGGAGCAAGCGUUGUCCGGAAUCAUUGGGCGUAAAGCGCGCGUAGGCGGCCUCAUAAGUCCGUUGUGAAAGUCAAAGGCUCAACCUUUGAAAGCCGAUGGAUACUGUGAGGCUAGAGUCCGGAAGAGGCGAGUGGAAUUCCCGGUGUAGCGGUGAAAUGCGCAGAUAUCGGGAGGAACACCUAUGGCGAAGGCAGCUCGCUGGGACGUUACUGACGCUGAGACGCGAAAGCGUGGGGAGCAAACAGG
rnacentral:rRNA from 1 species